rnacentral:rRNA from 1 species
GCCUACGGGAGGCAGCAGUGGGGAAUAUUGCACAAUGGGGGAAACCCUGAUGCAGCGACGCCGCGUGAGUGAAGAAGUAUUUCGGUAUGUAAAGCUCUAUCAGCAGGGAAGAAAAUGACGGUACCUGACUAAGAAGCCCCGGCUAACUACGUGCCAGCAGCCGCGGUAAUACGUAGGGGGCAAGCGUUAUCCGGAUUUACUGGGUGUAAAGGGAGCGUAGACGGCUGGUCAAGUCUGAAGUGAAAGCCCGGGGCUUAACCCCGGAACGGCUUUGGAAACUGAGCAGCUAGAGUGCUGGAGAGGUA